UCCCGAUUAGUACAGUGGUCAGUAUACCCGCUUUUCAUUGCAAGCGUUUUGUCGCGGGCGGCACGGGUUCGAUUCCCGUAUCGGGAA